rnacentral:rRNA from 1 species
GAUGAACGCUGGCGGCGUGCCUAAUACAUGCAAGUCGAGCGAACAGACGAGGAGCUUGCUCCUCUGACGUUAGCGGCGGACGGGUGAGUAACACGUGGAUAACCUACCUAUAAGACUGGGAUAACUUCGGGAAACCGGAGCUAAUACCGGAUAAUAUAUUGAACCGCAUGGUUCAAUAGUGAAAGACGGUUUUGCUGUCACUUAUAGAUGGAUCCGCGCCGCAUUAGCUAGUUGGUAAGGUAACGGCUUACCAAGGCAACGAUGCGUAGCCGACCUGAGAGGGGGGUCGGACACACUGGAACUGAGACACGGUCCAGACUCCUACGGGAGGCAGCAGUAGGGAAUCUUCCGCAAUGGGCGAAAGCCUGACGGAGCAACGCCGCGUGAGUGAUGAAGGUCUUCGGAUCGUAAAACUCUGUUAUUAGGGAAGAACAAAUGUGUAAGUAACUAUGCACGUCUUGACGGUACCUAAUCAGAAAGCCACGGCUAACUACGUG